rnacentral:rRNA from 1 species
GAUCUCCUACGGGAGGCAGCAGUGGGGAAUCUUGCACAAUGGGCGAAAGCCUGAUGCAGCCAUGCCGCGUGAAUGAUGAAGGCCUUAGGGUUGUAAAAUUCUUUCGCUAGGGACGAUAAUGACGGUACCUAGUAAAGAAGCCCCGGCUAACUUCGUGCCAGCAGCCGCGGUAAUACGAAGGGGGCUAGCGUUGUUCGGAAUUACUGGGCGUAAAGCGCGCGUAGGCGGACUAACAAGUUGGAUGUGAAAUCCCAGGGCUCAACUCUGGAACUGCAUUCAAAACUGUUAGUCUAGAGGCCAGGAGAGGUCAGUGGAAUACCGAGUGUAGAGGUAAAAUUCGUAGAUAUUCGGUGGAACACCAGUGGCGAAGGCGACA